GUGUGAGUGUCUGCGAAGGUGAAGCUGUGUGUUCACUCCUCUCUUCUUAGAAAAGUCUACUCUGCAACAAGAAGAGAUUCAAGCCGACAGAGAGGCGACUCUGAAAGCAAAGGGGUCUGAUCCAUCUAUCCUCAAGCCGUUAUACAUUGUAAUAAAAAAAUACAUCAUGGGAAGAGAUAGUGAAGAGUGGGAUGACAACCGCGGGGACACGAUGCAGGAUCAGCCUCCGAGAUAUGAGGAAACGGAGGGUAGAAAAUCGGGGAGCAAAUGUCCAAAGUGCUGCUUGCAGACGAGGGACUGUCUGAUGAGCCCGGAGUGCGGCCGGGGGCUUCAGAUCGCCAGCGUCAUCUCCAUGUGUGGGAUGUGCAUCCGCUGGUUUGUGUAACAUAACCUUGGACAUCAGGAGCAGUUUUUUCCGGGCCUCAUUGAUUCUCAUCCUCCCCCAGCACCCGUCAUUAGAUUCACUCCGUACGGUUUUUCAUCUAGACCGAGAGGAAAAUAUUCUCUUUCAGUCCAUUUCAUCAGCUAAAAAAUGUUUUUAUUUCUGCAUCUACAAGUUAUUUAUUAAACAAAAGAAACUCACUGUCUGUAUAUAAAAUAAACUAAAGAGACAAUAAUGAUAUAUGAAUGGAUGAGUGUGACUUUGAUCUGCAUGUCUUUGUGAAAUGUUUAUUUGGACGCCUGUCUGAUUGAUCAAUUCUGGUUGAUCAAAACAUAUUUAUGGUGUAGCAGUUUUCAGUAAUAAUACGAAAUAACUGUAAUAUUAUGAUGGUAAUAAACUAGAUUUACGACACAUCGUAACCCCGACAUCUUCUCUUAAAUGAUGAGUAUGAUGACCAGAUGGUAGUGGAAGAACCUGUCAGACAUCUGAACUAAUGAAAAACUUUAAAUAAAGCUUUCAGU